CAAGUGGCACGUUUCCGUACAGAAGUGUGUAUGUCCCUCGCUUAACCCUGUUCUGUACCUCAAACAAGGAAAAAUAAAUGUAGUAUAAAUGAGUUGCCACAAGGAAGUACCUAGCUGGUCUGGUAUAUCUUUAACCUGUAUAAAAAGAACGUAAAGCGUUGUAAAGAAACAAUUUAACAUGUCCUUCAUGACAGCACAAUCUGGGUUUUGGAGCGGAUAUUACACACAAUCUGACAUUCGGUAUCCUUUCAGCAUACAGCUUUUUCUCGGUAACUUUGACGGAUCGGUGAAAGGCGAAGGAACAGACAACAUCGGUAAUUUUAUGAUCAACGGAUCCUGGAGGAAGUUGGACGGGUCGGUGAAGUUUACAAAGCAGUAUAUCGGCGCUCACUCUGUGGUUUAUGACGGUCUUUUAUCCCCUGAUGGCAGACACAUGGAUGGGAAAUACACCGUUGGGGAAAGUGUUGGAGAUUUCCACAUGGAAAUUUCAAGUUAAGCUAUAAUCAGCUGUAUUUUCACACCCAUAUAUCAUACAGUGACUAGCAGAUUGCAUACAAAACUGUUUGUUAUAUAUGCAUGUAUAUGAACUUGUGGUAUUGUAUUUCAGAUAAGAGCAUAUAUCAUUAAACAUUUGUUUAACUUUGUGUUGUACUACGUUAACGAUUUAUAUCGUAAAGAGAUCUUAUUUUUUAUUCAAAUUCGAAACAAAAUAACACAGCGUGUGGAACACGCAUAUUAUCAUAUCGUGUUAGAUGUGCAAAACCAAAUAUUGAAAACUAGCAUGUCAUUGUUUGUUUUAGAGACAGACCUCCGGAGAUGGUGGGAAACUGAAAUACAAGCAAUCUGAUGAAAAUCAGUUCCUCAGAUGACCUCCUUGGACUUCUAAUGCUGUUUGAAGUAUAAAAGCCUCGAAGGCUAUCCUGCAGGAUCCACGUGUACGAAAACACGUACCUUAUUUAUUUUCUUAAUCAAGCGAUUGAUGAAAUAAAUGCAUGUAAGACUGA